GCGGGAGUAGUUCAAUGGUAGAACCCUAGCCUUCCAAGCUAAUGACGG
rnacentral:tRNA from 1 species